CCUACGGGAGGCAGCAGUGAGGAAUAUUGGUCAAUGGACGCAAGUCUGAACCAGCCAUGCCGCGUGCAGGAAGACGGCUCUAUGAGUUGUAAACUGCUUUUGUACGAGGGUAAACGCAGAUACGCGUAUCUGUCUGAAAGUAUCGUACGAAUAUGGAUCGGCUAACUCCGUGCCAGCAGCCGCGGUAAUACGGAGGAUUCAAGCGUUAUCCGGAUUUAUUGGGUUUAAAGGGUGCGUAGGCGGUCGGAUAAGUUAGAGGUGAAAUCCCGAGGCUCAACUUCGGAAUUGCCUCUGAUACUGUUCGGCUAGAGAGUAGUUGCGGUAGGCGGAAUGUAUGGUGUAGCGGUGAAAUGCUUAGAGAUCAUACAGAGCACCGAUUGCGAAGGCAGCUUACCAAGCUACUUCUGACGUUGAGGCUCGAAAGCGCGGGUAUCGAACAGGAUUAGAUACCCGGGUAGUC
rnacentral:rRNA from 1 species